rnacentral:rRNA from 1 species
UGUGUAGGCGGUUUGGUAAGUCUGGUGUGAAAUCUCCCGGCUCAACUGGGAGGGUGCGCCGGAAACUGCCGGACUCGAGUGCGGGAGAGGAGAGUGGAAUUCCUGGUGUAGCGGUGAAAUGCGUAGAUAUCAGGAGGAACACCGGCGGUGUAGACGGCUCUCUGGACCGUAACUGGCGCUGAAACACGAAAGCGUGGGUAGCAAACAGGAUUAGAUACCCUGGUAGUCCACGCCCUAAACGAUGCAUAUUUGGUGUGGGUCAUUCAGUUGAUCCGUGCCGGAGCUAACGCGUUAAAUAUGCCGCCUGGGGAGUACAGUCGCAAGGCUGAA